UAACAAAUGGGGAGCUAACAAGCUGUG
rnacentral:piRNA from 1 species